rnacentral:rRNA from 1 species
CCUACGGGUGGCUGCAGUGGGGGAUAUUGCACAAUGGGGGAAACCCUGAUGCAGCGACGCCGCGUGUGGGAAGACGGUCUUCUGGAUUGUAAACCACUGUCCCCAGGGACGAAAAUGACGGUACCUGGGGAGGAAGCUCCGGCUAACUACGUGCCAGCAGCCGCGGUAAUACGUAGGGAGCAAGCGUUGUCCGGAAUUACUGGGUGUAACGGGAGCGUAGGCGGGGAUGCAAGUUGGGUGUCAAAACUACCGGCUCAACCGAUAGUCGCACUCAAAACUGCAGCUCUUGGGUGAAGUAGGGGCAGGCGGAUUUCCUGGUGUCGCGGUGAAAUGCGUAGAUAUUAGGAGGAACACCAGUGGCGAGGGCGGCCUGCUGGGCUUUUACUGACGCUGAGGCUCGAACGUGUGGGGCGCAAACCGGCUUCGCUCCCCGGUAGUC